rnacentral:rRNA from 1 species
UACGUAGGGUGCAAGCGUUGUCCGGAAUUAUUGGGCGUAAAGAGCUCGUAGGCGGUUUGUCGCGUCUAUCGUGAAAACUGGAGGCUCAACCUUCAGCUUGCGGUGGAUACGGGCAGACUUGAGUUCGGUAGGGGAGACUGGAAUUCCUGGUGUAGCGGUGAAAUGCGCAGAUAUCAGGAGGAACACCGGUGGCGAAGGCGGGUCUCUGGGCCGAUACUGACGCUGAGGAGCGAAAGCGUGGGGAGCGAACAGG